AUGUCUGAGAAUCAUAGCUCAGAGCAGGUUCUGGAAGUUUCCGGAGCUCAGAACAACAACUCUCUUGACCCGAAUCCGGAUCGUGCAAUCCGGGCACCAGAAGAAGCUAACGGGUACGACCAUGACCGAGUCAAUCAGGUAAUGAAUUUAUGAUUGGUUGAAAGCGUAGCAAUUUUGAUUUGAUGUGAGAAAUGGUUUAUAAUUUGUGCAUAUUAGUGAAGAGGUUGAGAAAUGAUUGCAGGAACCGGCGUUAUUGCCGGUGAUGGGUCGUGCUGAAAGCGAUAAUGAUAAUGGGGUUUCGGAGGAGGAAGAGGGGGGCGAUUUUGUUGACUGCUCGGACGAGUUGGUUUCGAGUGCUGAGAAGGAAGCAGCAGUUGUAGCAGUAGUGAGGGAAGAAUCGGGUGAUGGUGGGGUUCGAGGAGUCGAAAACGGGGUGUUGGAUGGUUACGGGAUGGACGAGCAGCCGGAACAACAACAACGACGAAUGAGCAAUGCAUGGGAAUACAAGGUCGAAAAAUGUUGUUUAGUUGGGUAGUUUUGUUUAGUUACUCUUUGUGAUUAUCAAUUCGGUAUCAGAAAUGUUAUGUCCAUAACGUUUUCACAACAAAUUCUAAGUGGCGGGUUGUUACUGGCUUUUACUUAUGAGCACUUCUCUUUUGGUAUUGAUUUGUGACUUUUGGUGUGCAGGAUGAAAGAGAGGCCUUUGCUAGGGAAGUUGCUGAGCUUCGUCAUGGGCUUAAGGCUCUGAUUAAUCAUCAGCAGCCGUUGCUUAGUGAGAAUGAGAGUGGGGAAAAUGAUAAUAGCCCUUUGCUUGAAAUGAUAAAGGAAUGCUCGCUGUUUGCUAAAUUAGCUUCAGAGGAACGUUUGCAGGCUGAGGCGACAAUGAGGGAAAUUCGUGGUGUUGUUAUUACGAAGGAACAAGAGAUUGGAGAUCUCAAUGCACGGGUUUCUGAGUUAUCAGUGUCGAAUGAUGCUGCGGCGUCUUAUUUGAGUUCGGUUCAGAAUUCUUUGGAAGUAUCGUUGGAAAAGGAUCGGCAUGUAGAGGAUGUGGCAAACAGGAUGUUAGCUUCUCUAGCAUCGGUAGGUUAUCUAGAAGAAUCAUUGGAGGAUUCUAUUAGUGGGAAAAUAAUUCAGGUUGAGAAAGGCAACUCUUUGUUGAUUGAGAAGUACAAUCAGAUUCUUUCUGAAAUUGAUCAACUUAGGCAAUGUUUGAACGAGACUGGGGUUGAUAUCAGGGUGCAAGAGGGACAUAGGACAAUUUGUGUUGCUGCACGUGAUGAGUUACUUGAGCUGAAAAGAAAGGAGGAGGAUUUGAUUGAUGAAGUUAGACAUCUAGAGGAUGAAAAUAGGAAAUUAGUGGAACAACUUGACGGGCAUAAAGAAAUGGUUGAGAAAGUGAAUGCGGAACUUGCAAACACAAAAAUAGAAGUUGAGCAGGAGAAGGUUAGGUGUGCUAAUACCAAAGAGAAGCUUACCAUGGCUGUGACAAAGGGAAAGGCAUUGGUGCAACAGAGAGACUCAUUGAAGCAUUCUUUAGCUGAUAAAACAAGUGAGCUUGAGAAAUGUUUGAUUGAAUUGCAAGAGAAGUCUAGCGCAUUGGAGUCUGCUGAACUAAGCAAGGAGGAAUUGGUCAAAAGUGAAAAUUUGAUUGCAUCUCUGCAGGAAACACUAUUCGAAAGGACUUCUGUUCUUGAACAAAUUGAUGAAAUUAUGUCUGAGGCUGGUGUACCUGAGGAACUUCUUUUGAUGAAUAUUAGAGAGAGAUUUAGAUGGCUUGUGGAUGAGAGAAAUGUACUAAAGGGUGUUUCACUGGAGUCUCAAAAAUUGAAAGAUGCUUUUUCCUCGUUUGAUCUACCAGAGACAGUUUCAUCAUCUGACUUGGUAGCUCGAGUGGGUUGGCUGAGGGAGUCAUUUUACCGGGCUAAAGAUGAUGUAAAUAGUUUGCAGGAUGAAAUUGCUAAAACAAGGGAAGCUGGCCAUAAUGAGAUUGACCGCUUAAGUGCUUCACUUUCAACAGCAUUACAGGAAAAGGAUUAUCUUGAGACAGAGUUGGCUGAUCUGAUGAGGAAAUAUGAAGAGAUUGUUGAAAAAGAACAUCAAGUUACAUUGGAGAAGGAUCACUUAAGUGCUUCACUUUCAACAGCAUUACAGGAAAAGGAUUAUCUUCAAACAGAGUUGGCUGAGCUGACGAGCAAAUAUGAAGAGAUUGUUGUAAAAGAACAUCAAGUUACAUUGGAGAAGGACCACUUAAGUGCUUCUCUUUCAGCAGAACUACAGGAAAAGGAUUAUUGUCAAACAGAGUUUGCCAACCUGAUGGGAAAAUACAAAGAGAUUGUUGAAAAAGAGCAUCAAGUUUCAGUGGAAAAGGAUCAGAUAGUGAAAAUGUUGAUUGAGGUUUCUGGAACUGAAAUGGAAAAUGAAGAAGGGGUCUAUCAGACUUUCUCUGACAAUUCCAGUCUUGUUCACAGAUGUUUUGAGAAGAUAAAAAAACAGAACAGUGCCAUUUUGGAUUCUUCCUAUGUUAAUGAAGAAUUGUUUGAAAGAGUACAAAGUCUCUUGUAUGUAAAGGAUCACGAAUUGAUGCUGUGUGAGAAAUUACUCGAAGAAGAGAUGAUGGUGAGAUCAGAGGAAAAACUGUUGAAUGAGUUAAAGUUGGUUUCUGAAGAACUUGUGGCACUGAAAGAGGAAAAGAGUUCUCUAUGGAAGGAUCUUGAAAGAUCAGAAGAGAAGUCUACUUUGGUGGAUAAAUUGUCAAAUGAGUUAAAGUCGGUAUCUGAAGAACUUGUAAUGCUGAAAGAGGAAAAGAGCUCUCUACAUAAGGAUUUUGAAAGAUUGGAAGAGAAGUCUGCUUUGGUGGAAAAACUGUCGAGUGAGUUAAAGUUGGUAUCUGAAGAACUUGUAGCGCUGAAAGAGGAAAAGAGCUCUCUACAGAAUGAUGUUGAAAGAUCAGAAGAGAAGUCCACUUUGGUGGAAAAACUGUCGAAUGAGUUAAAAUUGGUAUCUGAAGAACUUGUAGCGCUGAAAGAGGAAAAUAGCUCUCUACAAAGGGAUCUUGAAAGAUUGGAAGAGAAGUCUGCUUUGGUGGAAAAACUGUCGAAUGAGUUAAAGUUGGUAUCUGAAGAACUUGUAGCACUGAAAGAGGAAAAGAGCUCACUUCAGAAUGAUCUUGAAAGAUUGGAAGAGAAGUCCACUUUGGUGGAAAAACUGUCGAAUGAGUUAAAAUUGGUAUCUGAAGAACUUGUAGCACUGAAAGAGGAAAAGAGCUCACUUCAGAAUGAUCUUGAAAGAUUGGAAGAGAAGUCCACUUUGGUGGAAAAACUGUCAAAUGAGUUAAAAUUGGUAUCUGAAGAACUUGUAGUGCUGAAAGAGGAAAAGAUCUCUCUACAGAAGGAUCUUGAAAGAUUGGAAGAGAAGUCUGCUUUGGUGGAAAACCUGUCGAAUGAGUUAAAGUUCGUAUCUGAAGAACUUGUAGAACUGAAAGAGGAAAAGAGCUCUCUAUGGAAGGAUCUUGAAAGAUCAGAGGAGAAGACCGCUUUGGUGGAUAAAUUUUCAAAUGAGUUAAAGUUGGUAUCUGAAGAACUUGUAGCGCUGAAAGAGGAAAAGAGCUCUCUACAGAAGGAUCUUGAAAGAUUGGAAGAGAAGUCUACUUUGGUGGAAAAAGUGUCGAAUGAGUUAAAGUUGGUAUCUGAAGAACUUGUAGCACUGAAAGAGGAAAAGAGCUCUCUACAGAAGGAUCUUGAAAGAUCAGAAGAGAAGUCUGCAUUGGUGAGGGAGAAGUUAUCCAUGGCAGUUAAGAAAGGCAAGGGAUUGGUUCAAGACCGGGAGAACUUGAAAAAGCUUCUGGAUGAAAAGAACUCAGAAAUUCAGAAGUUGAAGCUUGAGUUACAGCAGCAAGAAUCUGCAGUCACUGACUGCAGAGGCCAGAUCAAAACAUUGUCUACUGACGUAGAGCACAUCCCAAAGUUGGAGGCUGAUCUUGCUGCGAUGAAAGAUCAACGUGAUCAACUUGAGCAAUUCUUAUUGGAGAGCAAUAAAAUUUUACAGAAAGUGGUUGAAUCUAUUGAUGGCAUCGUUCUUCCUGUUGAUACAGUUUUUGAUGAGCCGGUAGGAAAGGUGAACUGGCUUUCUGGGUACAUUAAUGAAUGCCAGGAAGCUAAGACACAUGCAGAGCAGGAGUUGGGUAAGGUGAAAGAGGAUGCCAGUACCUUGGUUAGUGAGUUAGCAGAAGCCCAAGCAACUGUGAAAUCACUGGAAGAUGCAUUGUCAGUUGCGGAGAACAAUGUUACUCAACUAGCUGAAGAAAAGAGGGAAUUAGAAGUUGGGAAGACAAAUAUCGAACAUGAGUUACAGAAAGCAGUAGAAGAAGCUAGUUCCCAGACCAGCAAGUUUGUUGAGGCUUGUGCAACUAGGAAGUCACUUGAAGAGGCCUUAUCACUGGCAGAAAAUAAUAUAUCUGUGCUGUUCAGAGAGAAAGAAGAGGCUCAAGUAAGUAAAACAGCUGCAGAGAUGGAUCUGGAGAAAGUGAAAGAAGAGGUUGCUAUUCAGACCAGCAAACUCACGGAGGCCUUCAAAACUAUAAAGUCACUUGAAGAUUCACUGUCUCAGGUAGAGACUAAUGUUGCUUUGCUGACUGAGCAAAAUAAUGAUGCACAAGUUGGUAGAACUAAUUUGGAGAAUGAGCUAAAGAAGCUGCAAGAGGAAACGGGGUCCCAAGCUAACAAGCUGGCAGAUUCAUAUGCAACAAUAGAAUCACUGGAAGAUGCGCUGUUGAGGGCAGAAGAUGAUAUUUCUGUACUUCAAGGUGUAAAGAAAAAUGCUGAAAAGGAACUAUUGUCACUUAAUUCCAAGUUAAAUGCAUGCAUGGAAGAGUUGGCUGGAACCAGUGGCAGUUUUGAAAGCAAAUCUAUAGAGCUUGCUGGACACCUUAACGAUCUUCAAGUGAUUAUGAAAGAUGAGACUCUGUUAUCAAGGGUAAAAGAAUGCUUUGAGAAGAAAUUUGAGAGCUUGAGAAAAAUGGAUCUCAUUCUUAAAAACAUAAAGACCCAUUUCGUAGAAGUGGAUUUAGAAGAGCUGCAAAGUCACCAUGUCAUGGAGGUAACCUUAUAUCAGCAUGUGUGUGUAUGCAUCAAAAUUUUUCUUGCUGAGUGAAUUUUUUUUUUUUUUUUGGUUUUGGGGGGGGGUGGUGUCUGUGCAUGUUAUUUUGGUAAUCUCCAUAUGUGUGUACUUAGAUUUUGCCUUUUUGUACUUGAUUCUGUGACUAGUAAUUACCUUCACCUAUAUAAUCGUUAUGAGUGCAUCAACUUUAAUUAGCCAAUCUGUCUGGGUCUUUAAAUCAGAAUUGUUAGCAUUGACAAGGCAUUUUCAAUUAUAAUUAGAAUUGUCAAUGGAAAAGAAUAUACCACUGGUUUGAAAUAUGUAUGCUCAAGUGGAUUACUUGUUUGCUUUAAAAAACAGAUGACAGUUGCCAAUUUUUUGGUUCUUUAUUAGUGGUUGUGGAUCUCUCUUGCUAACUUGCUCUCUUUUUCUAUUUAAGAAUGCAGAAUGAAUCUAAAGCUUUUCUCUUUCUCCUAUCUAAUCUUUUCCAUCUUUUCUCUAAUUGGCUUGUUUUAUUUAUUCCAGGAUGAUUCAAUGGUUAUGAACUCUUUCUCAGAUAGCCUCAACAAUAUUGUUGAUGUUGAAAUUGAUAACAGCUGGGUGAGUGCUGCAGAUGGUGACAAUAUUUCUUCACAUUUUAGAAAGACUGUGGAAGGGUUCCAGUCGAGAAACAAAAUUAUUUAUGAUAAAGUUGAAGGAUUUUCAUCUUUUAUAGAUGAGUGUAUUGCAGGUUUGUUGAGAAAAUUACAGGAAACACAGGAUGGUGUAGUAUUUGUACUUGAGCACAUUGAAUCUUUGAAACAAAAAUCAAAGAAUCUGGAAAUGAUUCAACAGGAACAGGAGACCACUAUAGCCAUGUUAGAAAAUGAUGUUGCGACUUUGUUGUCUGCUUGUACUGAUGCUACAAGAGAACUGCAGAUUGAAGUGAAGAACAAUCUAUUGGAACUUAUCUCUGUUCCUGAGCUUGAGAAGUUGAACCAUACUUUGUCUUUAGAAAUGAGAGAGACUGAUGGAGAUGCCGCAGUUGAGCGGCAACAAAGGCUUGAUGGCAACAAACAUUUUGAUGCUGCAAAUAAGUUGUUAUUGGCAACUAGAAAAUUUCAAUCUCUGGUUAAACAGUUUGAUAGCACAAGUAAUGUGGCAGCCGCUACAGUUGAAGAAUUGCAAAAUAAAUUGAAACAAAGUAGAACAAGUCUUGAAAAUGCUAUUGAAGAAAGGGAUCUAAACCAAGAUAGAGUUUCCGAGCUAGAGAGUGAGGUAGAAGAAUUGCAAACUUCAUGCAGUGAGCUGAGGCUUAAACUAAAUGAUUCUCAUUCCAAAGAGGACAAGUUAAAGGAAAGAGAGGCAGAAAUUUCCUCGCUGUCCAAUACUUUGUUAAUGAAAGGAAAAGGUAAACAUCUUUGAUGGGAUCUUGCUGCACAAAUCUAUUUUGGUUGUUAUUAUUUUGUCAUUUUUCUUCUGACUUCUUUGUUCAUAUUUGUUGUUUCAGAGGCAGAAGACUCCCUUCUGUCAGCAUCCCAAGUGAAAACACUCCUUGACAAAAUUGGAGGGAUUGAAAUCCCUAUGGCAGAGUCAGAAGUUGGAGACCUGGUGCCCCAUAAUUCUGCUCACGUAAAGAAGCUCUUUUACAUUAUUGAUACUGUUACUGAGUUGCAGCAGCAAGUGAGGUUAUUGUCUCAUGACAAAGAAGAGCUGCAAUCAACAAUUACAACACAGAUUCUGGAAAUUGAGCAUCUCAAGGAGGAAGUUGAGAAACUUGUCAGGGACAGACAAGAUUCCGAAAAAGUGAAGGAUGAACUGUUUGAACUCACUUUUGGUUUGGAGAAAAUUAUAGGUAUUUUAGGAGGUGAAUUGUUUGACCAAAAAUCUGCUGGUGUCAAGGGACUUCUGUCAGUAUUAGAAAAGCAGGUUGUGACCAUGCCUUUGGAAUUGGAAAAUUCAAAAUCAAAAGCUCAGGAGCUUGGCACAAAGUUGCUUGCAAGCCAAAAGGUUGUGGAUGAAUUGUCAAUCAAAGUUAAAGUUCUUGAAGACUCACUUCAAGAUAGGAGUGCUCAGACAGAGAUCGUUCAGGAAAGGAGCAUCUUUGAAGCUCCCUCAUUGCCUACAGGGUCCGAGAUAUCUGAAAUUGAAGAUGCGGUAAUUAUUGAAUUACAUGAUUUUUUAAUAUAAUUUUCUUCAUGCAUGAUAUUUUUGUUUCUCUGAACAAAGUUUUCACGGAUAAAUUUUAAGCAAACUGUGUUGGUUUUUGGAUCUCAAAUGACCUUAGGUUCAGGUCUUGCAGAUGUUCCAGUUAGACAAAUUAGAUUAAUUAAUAUAUUCUAUACAUAUAUCUGUACUGCCUACAGAGUGUCGUUUUUCGGUGAUCUAUGUGACCAACCUAAUUGUUAAAACUUUCCAUUGGAAAAGUUAAAGCUUUCUUCAAUCCUUUUUCUUGUUCUCUCUUCCCCAAUGAAUUUCAAAACUUUAGUUGGAUAUUGAAAAAAGAAAGAUGUAGUUCAGGCAAAGGAGUAAUGAUAUGUAACACAAUUUGGGUAGACUUGCUGUUGGGUGACUCAAAAUUUUCCUCUCCAAAUAAUAGAGAAGAUGCCUGUAUAAAGCAUUGCUUGCCAUAUGCAGGGCUCACUUGGGCAGACUACAAAAUCUCCUGUCCCGCCAGCCACUGUUGCAAGAACUGUGCGAAAGGGUUCAGCUGAGCAUCUUGCAAUCAAUGUUGAUGUGGAAUCUGAACGUUUGAUCAACAAUGAGGGAAGUGAUGAGGACAAAGGUUUGCAUUCUAUCUCAUCUUCAUCUAAAUAUUCAGUUUAGAAAGCUCAGGUAAUUGACGUAUUUUUUUUCUCUUAUCCAGGUCAUGUAUUCAAGUCUCUGAACACGUCAGGUCUCAUUCCAAAACAAGGAAAGUUGAUUGCGGAUCGAGUUGAUGGAAUCUGGUAACAUGCCAUAUCAUCUGCUUUAGUUUAUGUUUCAAUUACUGUAUUGAAAGUUGGAACCUAAUCUACUAACUGGCAAUAAAGUCAUAACUGAGUUGGAUUAUGUUCUAUAUACAGACUUGAUACUAAGUUUCUUUUUAAUCUGUACAUGCAGGGUAUCUGGUGGUCGACUUUUGAUGAGUCGUCCCCAAGCAAGGCUAGGCCUUAUUGCCUAUUCACUCUUAUUGCAUAUAUGGCUGUUGGCAACAAUUUUGUGACUAAUUCUUUGAUCAUCUGUUCUCUGGAUCAUACCGCAACGAUAUUCUUAGUCUGCAAGUUGUAUCAUAGAUAAAUAACAUUUCUAUUUUUUUCCCAUUCUUUUAUGGUCACGGUGGUUAACGUGUUCAUAUUUUACAUAUCACCUUAUUGAUUCUCUGAAAUCAUAUUUUUUUAGGGGUUCAGGGAAUACAUGCCUCUCUGCUUUUAGAGAGAUGUAUCACUUUAGUUACUUAAUAAGUCUUUUGUCCUGUUGGAAUAUUGAGCUAUAGUUUCAAGUUUGGUAGAUAAACAUGAAAUGUAAGUGGUGACACCAUAUGUUCUAGACUUCUAGUAUCUCUGUGUUAACUAUGCGGACUUUGAGGAUUGGUACUGAGACUGAGAAUGAUCUUCAUUGAAAUCGGAAAUUAUUUCUGAAAUAUUUUAAUUAUCUACAACUUAUUGUUGAGCAAAUUAAAACUCAUAGUUAUCCAAUUUAAUUCCAAUGAGCACCGAGAGAUAUUUGAAUCUCAAUUUUGCCUAUCUGGACUAAAUUCUGAAUACAAAUAUUAACUUGUACUAUGUUGUUAAUUCAAGAAUUGUAAACCAAAAAAAAAAAAAAAAACUACAAAAUUAAAUAUCUAUUUAUAUUACAGAAGUUAAUUUCUUCUUAAGGGUAUUUUUUUUAUAAAUAAAAUUGGAUUUAAUACGUAUUAGUCAUAUCUACUUUUUUUUUUUUUUUUCCUUGAAACGUAUGGAGUGGACGAGGAUUAUUCAAAAAUAACCAUUUAAAUUUUUUUUUUUUUUAAAAUAGAGGAUUGAGAUUGAGAGAAGCUCUCGUUUGGUCCUUGAAUAUCCUUGAAUAUUCUGAAUUCCCAAAACUAUCCCCCAAAUGGCCACGUGGCGACAGCUGAAAAUUUAGACACAGAGUAAACAAACGGUUGGGAAGAGUUGAACUCAGUUGUUCAAUGUUCUCAGUUCUUACUUUCUCAGCCUCAGGGAAUUUGAACAUCUUUCUUCUGCUUUUCCCAGCAAAACUCAAAUAAGGUUUGGUUUUCUCUGAAUUCCAGUUGCUUUACCAAAAAAAUAUAGAGCUUACUUUCUUUACCCAUUUCUUUUCUCUUUAUAAUUGAAGUAGUAGUUGGAAUUUAACAGACAUCCAAAGUGAAGUGCACCCAUUUGGAUUUUGAAGCUGCUAUCUUUAUAUAUAUAUAUAUAUAUGGGUUUGCUCACUAUAAACUGUUGGUGGACCAGAACAAACAAUUUCUCUACAACCCUCUUUCCUUACAGAGCAUCUGCCUUCAUGGGUUAGUUUUUUCAAACCCCUUUAAUUUAUUUCUCUCUCUCUCUCUUAAUGUUUUGCUAAGUUUAUAUUGCACAAACACACACACACACACACAUAUAUAAAGAACAGUUAUUUGUAUGUUAUUCUUAAACAUUUCCAUUAAGGCAGAUAGGGGGUUGUGCGUUGAUCAUUCGUUUUGGUUCAUGCAUAUAAGAGUUGGGUCAGACGUUGCUCCUUAUAAAGCCUUAUUUAGUGUUGGUGUUUAAUUUCCCAAAUGUUGUGGUUGCAGCACAAUGAUAGUGAUAUUUUGUUGGUCCUAUAUAUGGACCUGGGAUGUUAUUAUGUAGGUUUGCAAAUAUGGGAGGGGAUGUAUGAGACUUGGGUCUUAAGUCUUGACUGUGUAUUAGGAAGAAAUUACUUUAUAAUAGCACAGAGGGAUCGAAUCAAAUGAGGAAGGGACAAGAACUAGUCCUCGUUUAGGCUUUGUACUACAAAUGAUGGAAUAUUUCAUAAUUUCAUUCUGUUUUUUUUUUUUUUUUUUCUUGGUUGCUUUAUUUUAUGAAGUACAAUAACAAUGCAACCUCAAGAUGCUAUUCUAUUCUGAAAUUCUACACUAACAUUACAAUCUUAAUAGCAAGCUGCCCCAUCUAACAGCAUUGACAUAUUCCUAGCUGAGAAGCUCUAUUUUUAGUCUUGCAGUAUUUCAUUUUCCAUUGACAAUGUACUUGUUAUUUGUUAAAUGCUUAAUUUUUGUAUGACUGUCCAAAUGUGAUUACAUGUGAUUAGGCGGGAAGUUUAUUCACCUCUCUGAUGCGGAACGGGUUGUACUUUCUACAUUGCACAGUGUAAUAUUCUCUUCUUUUUAGCAAUUUGAUGUUAAAUCUGAGAAAAAUUGUAGAACUUUUGUUUUUCUAUCAUCUCACACUAAUAUCAUUCUUUUUGCAGGGUUUUAGAUUUGAUACAAGGGCUUUUGCAAGCCGGAAUUCAGUGAAGAAAUUGAGAAGAAAUAGACAACCACCUGAAAUUGUAGCAGAUAUUCCUCCCACAAAAGAUGAUUAUGUUCAAGAUGAAAAUUCAGCUUCCUCUUUUGAAAAUUCAGUUGAUCAGAAUUCUACAAUAAAGCCUUCCAGGAGUACUGUGCUUCAGGCAUGUACCAUCACUUCUGGAUUAAUAGCGGCUUUGGGUAUAAUACUUCGUCAGGUAUGCUUACUCUCAUGCAUCAACUACCUUGGCAUUCUGCUCUAUUUUUGUCUAAGACUGAUAUCUCUGGGACUGUAAGAAGCCACCUAGUCAUACUCGUCAUAUCCCCACCGUUUUGGUUUCUCGUUGUGUUAUUUGAAUUAAAUGUGUUCGCUUCCUCCUUUUUUACCUUGUGGAUUCUUCCUUUUUUCUCUUUAGAUUGAAUCACUACUUAAGAGUGGAAUCAAAAUUGUGAGACAACUUCAGAAGUUUGAAUUAGGAAUAUUUUUUUUUAUGAUGAUCUAAAUGCGCUACACCCAGUUCCCCCUUUCUUUAUCCUCUUGUUUGUGACAAACAAUGCAUCCUUGUAUCCACUUAUAAUGUGCGAGUAAUGUUCUGUGAUAUUGUUUAAUAGCAAUCAGCGCCGUAGGACUUUUUUACUAUUUAAUUUCAAUAUUUUUUGUUCACACCAAACACCAGUCACAAAACUUUGUUACUCAAUGCUAAGCUCUUGGUUUUAGUCGGGAAGUGUCACUUUGGAGUAAAGGAGAAUUCUCAAUUUCACUAAAAUAAAAAUUAAAAAAUUUCAUGGGCAACAUUAUGUUUGGUCAAUCAUCUGGAUCUUAAUUUUUUUCUCUAAUUGCUAUUUGCAGGUAUCCCAUGUUGCAUCAGUGGAAGGAUUGCCAAUCCUUGACUGCUCUGCAGAAGUAUCAUGUAUAAAUUUUGUGUUCUCUUCUUAUUGCAAAUUUUUCAUUGACUUUUUUUAUUGUUCUCCCUUUUCAGAUUCAACAUCCUGCUUCUUUCCACAGAAUGCAAAGAGACAUUUUCUUGGAAAAUAAAUUUUUGGAAAACUGAGCAGACAGGAUAGUGAAAAUCAUCUAAAAUGAGUAGUUGUCCUAAAAGGCUAAAACAUGAUUAACAUUUCUGGGAAACAGCCAAUCAGCCAAUGGCAAUGGAAUAGCAGACACCAAAUGCAAAUCAAAUUAUUGGUUUUGUUUUUCUAGAUUUUGAAAGCUCAAUUGUACUUUCUCAUGGAUAUGAAAUUUAAUUUUGGGUUUUGAUUUUCAAAAAAGAUUUUACUAGAAUAAUCAAAAUUUGCUCAUUUUUCAAAUCUGCAAAAAGGAUUAGAAAUCUAUGGAAAUAUAGAAUAUGCUGAUGCUUUAUUAAAAUAAUUUUCCUGAUAAUUAUAUAAUGCGGAGAAUGUCAUUCUAAUAUGGAUCAUCUUUCCAUAUUCUAUAUUUUAUUUUUAUACAUCCUUUUUGCCUCUUUUGUUGUAGAUUGGAAUUGGGCAAUUCAAUGACUUAAAAGAGUGUCAUGUUUUCCCCAUGUACAGUUGGUUUUGAGAUGUGGCAUCUUGAGUUGAUUACAGGAAUAGUUGUAUUGAUAUCAUCAAGCCGAUAUCUACUACUGAAGACAUGGCCAGAUUUUGCUGAGUCUAGUGAAGCAGCCAAUCAGCAGGUAGCUGUACUGAUUUUCCUAACUGUCUCUAGAGGGACUCGUACAUAUCAUUUAAUUUUUGUAAUGAAUUAGCAUCNNNNNNNNNNNNNCCCCCCCCCACCCCCCCCCAACCCUUAUCUCCCCCAAAAAAAAAAGAAAAAGAAGACACUGCUCCAGUUGAGUUGAUAUUGUACCAAUCCUUAGCUGCUUUGAUGAAUUUCAACAACAUCCUAUAUUUGACGCAGGUCCUUGCUUCACUUCAGAUUUUGGAUUACAUAAUUGUUGCAUUCCUGCCUGGUAUUAGUGAGGUAAUAAGCAAAGAAAAAUGUUUUUAUCAUUUUUGUGUGUGUUUUUGUUUUUAAUUAUAGUUCUAUUAAGAGUGCAUUGUUACAUGUGCUGGUUCAUGGUUGACUAGGAAUUGCUUUUCCGUGGUGCAUUGCUACCACUUUUUGGAUUCAAUUGGAAGAGUGUCUUUCUGGUUGCCGCUAUUUUUGGUGUUCUACACGUUGGCAGUGGCCGAAAGUAUUCCUUUGCUAUCUGGUAUUCAUCUUCUUGACUUGAUAAGGAUUUCAUUUUCUCCAAAUUAAUUUAUGAAUCAAUUGCAUUGACUCUCUACUUUACCUUAUUUAAAUUAAGAGUAGGCAUAUAUCCUCUUCAUUUAGUCCCUACUAAUAUUUAGUAUGCCCUUCUUGCUGCAUCUUCUACUUUCCAUUCUUUGAUAGCUCUAACUUUCAAAGCAAAUGUGAUGCCUUCACUGGUCCAUUUAAGGCGAAAAUUAAACAUCGAGUAGUUAUCCGUCAUCUUAUAAGUGAACAGCUUUAACAGCCUUUGGACAUCCAGCCAUGGAUUAUAUUUUAUAGUUAGUGCGUUGUAAAUAGAAUUCAUAUUAGGAGUCAUAGUGCUCAAAUCCCCCGUCCCCAUUGUUGUCGAAUUAUUUAUAAAAAUAAAAUUAAAAAUUAAAAAAAAAAUCAGAAGAAGUUUGGAUUGUAUUGCUUGUUGUCCUAUGGAAUAAUCUUCACACUAUUCAGGCACUGUGGGCUCCAAUUAAUCAGGAUUUUGGUGUUUGACAUGUUUCAGGGCAACUUUUGUUGGGCUUGUGUAUGGUUAUGCCACAAUUAUGUCUUCUAGCCUUAUUGUGCCAAUGGCUUCUCACGCGAUAAACAACCUGGUUGGAGGGAUUUUGUGGCGAUACACCUCAAAAUCAUCAGAGAAGUUAUAAGACAAUUACAAUCUGCCUCAUUUUUAGUUGUUAGGAGAAAAAAAAAAAAAUCUGUUCUUCAAAACUGGUCAAUGGUGUAUCCCUGUCUAGUUUGGUGUAAUAUGUGGUGUGGUAUACAUGAAUUUGUCAUCCACUUGUGCUGUAAAUUCUUGUAGAACCAUCUUAGUCUAGAAGGUGGGUGGCUAUGCAACAAUAUUAAGGCUAUUAUUACAGAACUCGCCUUAACUUUACUACUAGGAAACAAUAUAUCACAUUUUUAUUCUUGAAGUUGGAACUUUUUUUUGUUUUUUUUUUUUUUUUUUUUUAUUUUUUUUUUUUUUUUUUUAGGUUCAAUUCCUUCAAAUUAGAAUUGAGCAAUUUUUUAAGGAUCAUUAAAUCUAUGUGGUCGUGGAAUUCUAUCUCCUACCAUUUUCCCUAAAAUGAAACUUUUAUUCAUUCAAACUAAAUUAAGAUCACUCGACUUACCCUGUGAACACCUUAAAUUUAUUAAUUUAAAUGACAAAGUUUUCCUCUAAAUUGGUUUGAAGAAUCUUUUUCAACACAUUAUGUGGCGAUCCAUAAAACUAUCUAUGCAUAUUCUUUAAACAAGUCACAUGAAUAAUUAAUAGGUUAUGUGUUAUAUAGUAGACAGUGAAUAAUGGUUAUAUUAAUCACCAUGUAGUGAAUUGGAAGAAUUUUCCUCCAAAAUAAUUUGAAGGUAAACUUGUUGUCAUAUUUAAAAAUGCACAAAAUUACGUUUUAUUUUUAUUUUUAUUAUAGAUAUGAAAUAUUUAAAUUUGUGGAAUCCACUUCAGAUCAUUCUUUUUCAUCAAGUCAAGGAACUGUUUGGUUUUUGAAGUAGACGGUAUUGGAAUUUAAGUCCCUUUAUGUUUGUAAGUUUUUAAAAGAAUGCAAAUGCUAAAAAUAGUACAAAAUUUUCUACAUAAUCUUUACAAACUGAUAUAAUAAUGAAUUUGAUUGGUAGAUGUUAACAACAUAUAUAAUUAUAUAUGAAUGUUAGAAUCAAUUUUUAUUUUUUCAUAUUAGUGUAUCACAUUAAUUUAUAAAGGUUAUAUAGUAAAAUUUGUAAUAUCCCAAACCAAUUUCACUCUUAAAAGAAUGGAAAGGAAUAAAAUGAAUAACUCAUAAAAGAAUUGAAUUGAAUGGAAUACAACCUAAUGUAUUUUCUGUAAUGUGUUUUCAUGUUUAUAAAAAAUGGGGUAGGAAAGAAAUAUUUAUCAAUAAAAAAUUAUAUAUAUUAAUUGCAUUCAUUUUUUAUUUUAUUUUAUCUUUUCCAAAGUAGGGAUGUAAUUGGUAUUUCAUCUCCCUUUCAUUAAUAUUUUUUUAAGAGGGAAAUUUCCCUUUCAUCAAGGAAUGAAUGUUCUACUAAAAAAUGGGAGGAAUAUUUCCUGGGGAAUGGAAUGUUCUUAACAAUUCCUAAUGAGUCAUGACCAAUCCCUUACUCCAUUCCAUUACUUCCAAGUAUUAAACUUCCAAAUAGGAAAGUAAAUGAAAUAUUCUUAAAACAUUCCUUUCCAUAAUUUCAACCAUUACAUCCCUUUAUUUUCUCCCAUCCCAAAAUGAAAGUAAGUUGACUUAUUCUUUUACGUAGAACUUUUUAACACCACAUUUAAAAAAGAAAAGAAAAAUACAGCUUACUCAAACUCUAGUUUAUUUUCAAGUGUACUUUGCUAAGUUUUUUUCUUACGACAAAGUUUAACUAUAAAAUUAGUUGUAGUCUUGAACUAUAAUUUUACUCAAAAUCUUUUUAUUGAAGAUGAAUUUUGACAAAACCACCAUUGGAUUACAUCUUCUUCUUAUAUCCUCUAUACUUAAAAAAAUUUUAGAAAUUUAAAAAUCAAUAGCUAUGUCAUCAAUAAAUUAUUUAAAUUUAAAGUUUUUGUAGUUUAAAAUUAUGCAUAAAAUAUAAGUUUGUAGAUCAUAUAGUAAAUAAUAUUUGAUUGAUACAAAAUUUGAUAUGUGUAUUGAGAGUGUAAAGAAUAUGCAAUUCAAUGGUUAGAUUUUUAAAAUAUGUAAUAAUAUUUAUUUUAUUGAGUAAAGUUGUAAUCUUAGGCUACAACUAAUUUUGUAGCUAAAUUUUGUCAUUUUUCUUAACUUAUUUGGGUAGGUAAAGCUUUUUUAAACUCUCAAUUUUCAUCUAGAUACAUCUGUAUUCUUGUUCAAUUUUCAUCUUUUAAGAAAAAUAAACAAAAGAAAAUAAAAACUGUACCAAAUCUAGAACAAAGAAUCCCAAGUAUGGUUUUAGCCAACUUAGCCUACUAGGAAAAAAAAAUGAAGAAAUAAUUCAAACAAUUUCAAAUAUCAAAACCUUAACUGACUUAUUUGGUCAUGAAAAUCUUGCUAACAUGCUAUACUAAUUUACAUUCGGGUUUCUCAAAAAUUCAAUUGGGGUGUUCUUUUGUUGUUAUUAAUUUAUUAUUAGCAUUAUUAUUUCAACCUUGACAAUUAAAACUGGUCUUUCUUAUAUAUUUUUAAGGCUAAAAUGAAAAUUUAUCCUCUAAUUUUCAAACAAAAUUCAUUUAAGUCCUUUAAGUUUGUUUUCGUUCAUUUUAAUGUUCCAAGUUUAUUCAAUUAUGACCUCUCUGUUAACUUUUGUUAAUUUUUUAAAAAAAAAAUGAAAAAGUCUUAAUUGAUUAAAUUUGAAACUUAUAAGAUUGUAGUUAAAAAAAAAAAAAAAAAAAAAAAAAAAAUUAAAUUUGAAACUUAUAAGAUUGUAGUUAAAAAAAAAAAAAAAAAAAAAAAACAAAGUUAGAAAAUUAAAAAGGUGAAUAUUGCAAUUUUUUUCUUUUUCUUUUUUGGGAUAACCUAGUCUUACUCUUUCAUCAGUAAAACAAGGAAACAAAUUUAUUGUCCCCGUGUUUGAGACGAGUGCAAUCCGUAAAGAAAAACUGAAAAUCGUUUGGUCUCCUCCAAAUAUAAAAGUUGCAUUUCCUGUUACCAAUAUUUCAUCAGAAUCGAAAGUACCCUUCUUCUUUUUCAUUGUUAUCAUCAUUUCUCAAACCCCAAAAUUCUGGUUUUCCAUAUAUUUUUUUCUGUUCUUUCAUUUCCUCACACUACUCAAUCAUGUCUUCGGUAAGAAAAUAUAAAAUCCUCGUAUAGUUUUUCGUACACAUUAUUGCUUGUGUUUCAUUUCCCAUGUGAUCAGAAGUGGGUUUUGUCGUUUCAAUGUUUUUGUUUUGUUUGAAUAAACACGUACAUUUUACAUGGUUUGAGAUAUAUGAGAAUAAUAUUGGGUUGGUGACUUGGUGGGGUUUAUCAUCUGUAGGACAUGAGAUUCACAAGUAGGGACUUAAAAUAAUAUAAUAUAUUUAAGGUUUAUUGUUAAUAUCAUUUUGUUUUUUCGCUUUAUUAGACUCAUUGGUGAUUAGGGUUUACGUUGUUCUUGAAAUAUAAUGCAAUUUUUUUUUUUUUUUUGAUAGUUACAUUGAGAGAGAAGAGAUUUGAACUUUAGAUGUUUCUAUUAAAAACACCCAUUUAUUGUUUUGAGUUUAUUGCAAGCUUGAGAAUAAUUGCAUAGAAAUAGAAAUAGUGGAGAAUUUUAAUUUUAUUUAUAUACACUACAUUUUUUAGUGGAGGAGGCAUAUUCAAAUUCAACUAAUGAUAUUAAGCUAUGUGACUCUUCACUUGAGUCUUGACUUGAAGCUGAUUAUUAAUGUUAUUAUAUCAUGAGUUUUUUUAAUGAAUAGCAAUGAAUGCAUAUGUUAAAAUUUUUAUGGUUUUCUUUGUUUUGUUUGCAGCUCAAUAAGGAUCGGCCUCUACCCAAAUUCGGAGAAUGGGAUGUGAACAAUCCUGCCUCAGCCAGCGAAUUUACUGUCAUAUUUGACAAGGUUAGAGAUGAGAGGAAGACCGGUGGGACAUCUAGUAGUGUGUCACCAUCGCCAAAAUAUACAGCCAGUGAUAAAUACAGCCAUUCCUCCAAGUCCAACAACAAGGUAUCAAUUCAUUUCAUAUCUCUGCCUAUUGUUUGGUUCUUGGUUUUAUAACUCUUUUAAUAUUGAACUUGUUAUCUAUGUUGAAUGCAGAGAAAGUGGUUCUGCCUUUGUUAA
rnacentral:sRNA from 1 species